rnacentral:sRNA from 1 species
GGAAAAAAGAAACAGAGUAAAA